rnacentral:rRNA from 1 species
UACAGAGGGUGCAAGCGUUAAUCGGAGUUACUGGGCGUAAAGGGCGCGUAGGCGGUAUUUUAAGAUGGGUGUGAAAUCCCUGGGCUUAACCUAGGAAUUGCAUUCAAGACUGGGAUACUGGAGUACUGUAGAGGGUAGUGGAAUUUCCGGUGUAGCGGUGAAAUGCGUAGAGAUCGGAAGGAACAUCAGUGGCGAAGGCGGCGACCUGGAUCAGAACUGACACUGAGGCACGAAAGCGUGGGGAGCAAACAGG